rnacentral:lncRNA from 1 species
CUUCUACAAUGAACUUCGUGUGGCUCCAGAAGAACACCCUGUUCUCCUCACAGAAGCUCCUCUUAAUCCAAAGGCCAAUCGAGAAAAGAUGACUCAGAUCAUGUUUGAGACCUUCAACGCCCCUGCCAUGUAUGUCGCCAUUCAGGCUGUUCUUUCCCUCUAUGCCAGUGGACGUACUACUGGUAAGCUUUGUCUUCAGUCAACCACCUUUAAAUAUGUGUAUGUAGUGCUUGAAAUCCAGCUCUUUUAGUGAUGUUUGUGAAUGAUUUUUUGGUCCAAACAUUAUGUUGAAUCCUGUGCUUUUUUAUGUCAGGUAUUGUGCUGGACUCUGGUGAUGGUGUCAGCCACACAGUUCCCAUCUAUGAAGGUUAUGCUCUCCCACACGCAAUCCUGCGUCUUGAUCUGGCAGGGCGUGAUCUCACAGAUCACCUCAUGAAGAUUCUCACAGAAAGAGGCUACUCUUUCACCACCACGGCCGAGCGGGAAAUUGUUAGGGAUGUGAAGGAGAAGUUGGCUUACAUUGCUCUUGACUAUGAACAAGAACUUGAAACAGCAAAGACCAGCUCAUCCGUGGAGAAGAGCUACGAGCUGCCUGAUGGACAGGUUAUCACCAUUGGUGCUGAGAGAUUCCGCUGCCCAGAAGUUCUGUUCCAACCAUCAAUGAUCGGAAUGGAAGCUGCUGGUAUUCAUGAAACCACAUACAAUUCCAUCAUGAAGUGUGACGUUGAUAUCAGAAAGGAUCUGUAUGGAAACAUUGUCCUCAGUGGUGGUACCACCAUGUUCCCGGGCAUUGCUGAUAGGAUGAGCAAGGAAAUUACCGCAUUAGCUCCAAGUAGCAUGAAGAUCAAGGUUGUCGCCCCACCUGAGAGGAAGUACAGUGUUUGGAUUGGAGGAUCUAUUUUGGCCUCUCUCAGCACAUUCCAGCAGGUUUGCAAAAUCAAGAUCUCUUUACUUCUUGCAGUCUGCUGCAUUUCAUAUUUGCAAUUCUUAAAGUUUAACCACUAUCUCAUCACACCAUUGUCAACAAUAACUCAAAAAUGCCAGUUAUCUGAGAACAAAUGCUGAGCAGUAGUUUAUGCUAAAUACUUAGCUCUUUAAACUGAAUGUGAUGAACAUUUGUCAAGGCGGCACAUGAAAAUUUACUUAUGGAUUUUUUUUCCCGAUUACAGAUGUGGAUCGCUAAGGCAGAGUAUGAUGAAUCUGGACCUUCAAUUGUUCACAGAAAAUGCUUCUAAAUACAGCAUUCCAAGAAAGAGAAACAGAAGAAAUAUACAAACUCUCAUUUUGAGAGCAGCACCGCGUUUAUUGAUUGCAUAUAAUAUGCUUCUCAUUUGUAUUUCCUUUUGAUUAUUUUUGUUUCUAUCUCUUUAUCUGAAUCAAUCUCAAAUAUUCGGUCAUUGUUGGUAUGAAAAAGCAAGCAGUUCAUGUUAAGAGUCAAUUUAAAAUUAAUAUUUUUAUAUAGAGUUGUAUGUGAAAUGAUGUUGUGAUUUGGUAUAUGGAUAAAGAGCUUGUCAGUUCAUUUUAUAUAUUCUCUUGGUCUCAAUUUUUAUGGUAUCCAAAUAAGAAACAGAAAAUUAUAGGUAUCACUUGUUAUACUAUUCGACACUUUCUACCCCUGCCGUUACCUAUUUAAAUGUAUUUACCCCUCCAUCUACCCCAGUCUUCCUGUUACACGUGGCUUCAUCUUAAGCCCCCAAACCUUUUUCUUAUUUUUGAUUUUUAGAGCCCCAUCUUAAAAUUUAUUACUCAAAUCAAUACCUCUUAGUAACCCACCCCAAGGACCCCAGUAAUUAAAUAUCCAGAUUAGCUCCAGUACUUGGGGUUCAUAUUAGCUCCAGUCUUAAAUUUUAAAGGCCACGAUCUUGGUUCAUUUAUGCUCAAAGAAUACUCAAUGUUCUUUAGUGUUUAGAUAACUUUUCGUAAAUCAUAUAGAUUGUUUCCAAAAAGAAAAAGAAACAACUCAAUAGUAUAUUUUCCCAUAAAAGUUACUCAAAAAUUCUUUAAAAUUACUUUCUCAAAAAAUUGUUCCAAACAUUUCCCAUAAUUAAUCUCAAUCUGUUUUCCGAAACCUAAAUCAAAACCAAUCCAACUACCUUAUAUUAUAUAUAAUCAAUACAUUGUAAAGAACGGCAUGUUCUUUUGAGCUUUGGUAGGCAAAGUUAUUCGGUAAACAAAUGAUAUGUGGAAUAGUCGAGGUGUAAACAAGCUGACCGACAUGAUUGUUAUAAAAGAAAAAGAUUUCUUUUGAGUAAAUCAGUUGCACAAAUAUAAUUAUUUGGUGCCACCCUUUAAAUUUUUACCCUGGUAGAAAGUCAUGGGAAAAUAGUCUCCAAUCAAAUUUUUGAACCAUGUUAGUCAGAAUUUCUUCGGCAUGUCUUAUGGCGAUUUGUCAGAAUUCUGACGGUCGCCAUAUAGCACACACCGUAUUAGGGUGGAGUGGAUGAAGUGGAGGUUAGCAUCUGGAGUUCUGUGUGACAAGAGAGUGCCACCGAUACUCAAAGGUAAGUUUUACAAAGCGGUGGUUAGACCGGCCAUGAUGUAUAAGGCUGAGUGUUGGCCUGUUAAGAACUCACAUAUCCAGAAAAUGAAAGUAACAGAAAUGGGGAUGUUGAGGUGGAUGUGCGGGCACUCUAGGAUGGAUAAGAUUAGGAAUGAAGAUAUUUCAGAUAAGGUAGGCGUGGCUCUCAUUGAUGACAAGAUGCGAGAAGCAAGGCUCAGAUGGUUCAGACACGUACAAAAGAGAAGCCCAGAUGCUCCAGUAAGGAGGUGCGGGCGGCUGGUUUUGGAGGGCAUGAGAAGAGGUAGAGGACCUCCUAAGAAGUAUUGGGGAUAGGUGGUCAGGCAGGACAUGGGGAGACUUCAGAUUUUCGAGGACAUGACCCUUGGUAGGAAGCUGUGGGGGUCGAGUAUUAGGGUUGUAGAUUAGGAGAUAGUUGAGUUUUUUCUUACUUUGUCCCUUCGUGAGGUUACUCUGGUAGGGUUUCUGUCGAAGUCAGCUAGUGACAAUGUUGUGUCUUACUACUAUUUUGUUUUCCAUAGUGUCGGGUCUAUGUACCGUCUAUCGUUUUUACUUUGCAUCUACUUUCAUAUUUUCAUGAUGUUAUUUUUCCUAUAUUUUCUAUUGGUGGUACUGAUAUUAUCUCUUUUUGUCUUCUUGGGCCGAGAGUUUUUCGGAAACAACCUUUCUACUUCUUUGUGAUUGGGGUAAGGUCUGCGUACAUACUACUAUCCCUAAACCCCACUAAUAGAAUUCUACUGGAUCGUUAUUGUUGUGUGCGGUCACCAUAAUUUUAUAAGUUAUGAUGAUCGUCACAAAAUUCUGAAUGAUCACCUGAACUUUUCGCGUUAUGGCUGAAAGCAGGAUUCCUUGUGCUUCAAAAUUGUGACCAAUGUGCUUUAAAAUUCUAAUUAGUGUGCUCUAAAGUUCUGAUGCAAUUUUUUUUUUUAAAAUUUCUUAGUAAGGUCAAAAUAUAAACGGUAAUUUUAAAGAGGUUCAUCCAAGGGGUGUUAAUGGUUCAGUUCGGUCGGUUAUUUUGUAAAUUUUGUACCAUACUAAUUUUUUGAUUAUUCUAUUAUGUAUAAUCAAAAUUAGACUUUUCGAAACCGUCCCAAUUAUAUCGGUUCCUCUUCGGUAUCGGUACGGUUGGGUUAAUUUUCUGUAUUUUUUUAAAAUAUCAUAUAAAAGUCACUAGUAGAAGUAGAAUGCAAUAACAUAAAGUAAAAUGUAAUAACAUACAUACUUUUUUAGGACUUAACAAAUCUCUCUAGAUAUUUUUACAUUUUAAAGGGUGAUAAAUUAAGAAAAUAUAAAAGAUGGCUAGAGUAAAGAUCCAUCAACUACUCUAUAACAACGUAAAAGAAACUAAACAAAUUAAUGUAAAAAAAUAUAAAUCACACGAGUGGAAAGAUAUUAACCAAGUUGGAACUGAGACUCAAGAAUAAAAUCUAUAGAAGAUUAAAUAUUCAAAAAGAUAAAUCUAGAUCAUACGAAAGGAAACAUAAUCAAUGCAUUGUAGUUUGCUACUGAUAACCGCUAAAUAACUUGUGUCUUGCUAGUGAAUAUGUUGGAAAUAAUUUAGUUUCAAUAGGAGUAGCAUAAUAGGUUUGAGAAUUAUGUUUUGCGAUUAUUACUUGUUGUCUCGAAAUUGUUUUCAUAAUUCCAAUACCCAAGGAAAAUGUAAUGUUUUAUUAUUUUUGAACUUAAUAUAUAAAUAUAAUUUUCAUAUGUAAAUUUGUUCGGUACGGUUCAGUAUUUUUUCGAUUUAUUUUUAUAAAAUAAAAAAUUUAUUCUAAUUAUCGGUACGGUUAUAAAUUUAUAUAAAAAUCUACGGUUUUAUUUAAAGGAAUCAAAAAUUCGAUUUGGUACCGUACGGUUCGGUUGGUUUAGUCGGUUUUUAAAUACCACUGUUUCGGAUAGAAGGAUGUAGAAGGAGCUUCAACACAAUGGGAUGACAUUCAAAGGAAGCUUGGAAAUCACCCUCCAAAACCCCCUGCUUUUAAGCCUCCACCUUUUACUCCUGAAACUUCCAAUUCCAAGCCUAAAGACAAAGAUUGGAUAGAUGAAAAGACCCAAGAUGAACUUGAUGAACUUGAAGAUGAUCCCCAACUCAACGACGAUCGCUUCCUCCAAGAAUACAGGUUUCGCCCUUCUUCCCCUUUUUUUUAUUUUCAAUUUUCGCACUUUGAUUCCUUAAUUAUUCUUUUGGAUCGCUCCUGAAAGACCCCUUUAGGAUAUUAAAAAAGAAAUCCGUUCAAGUCCCUUCUUUUUCAGUUCAUUGCCGCUUAAUUUUUUGGGACAAGUGUUAGUGUGCCACGUAUUUUGAUAUUUUGUAUUAUCCAUGUGAACGUAGUUCAAAUUGACCGAACUAACACAUUAAAUAUUUGUGUCUCU